UACGGGGGGGGCAAGCGUUGUUCGGAAUUACUGGGCGUAAAGGGCUCGUAGGCGGCCAACUAAGUCAGACGUGAAAUCCCUCGGCUUAACCGGGGAACUGCAUCUGAUACUGGAUGGCUUGAGUUCGGGAGAGGGAUGCGGAAUUCCAGGUGUAGCGGUGAAAUGCGUAGAUAUCUGGAGGAACACCGGUGGCGAAAGCAGGUACCUGGACCAUUACUGACACUCAGCUGCGAAAGCUAGGGGAGCAAACAGGG
rnacentral:rRNA from 1 species